UGUAGCUCAGUGGUAGAGCACUUGCCUCACAGGCAUGAAGCCCUGGGUUUAAUCCUCAGUA
rnacentral:tRNA from 1 species